rnacentral:siRNA from 1 species
GGCUGCAUACUCCCUAAAACCAAU